UACGUAGGGGGCAAGCGUUGUCCGGAUUUAUUGGGCGUAAAGAGCGUGUAGGCGGCCUGAAAGGUCAGCUGUGAAAACUCGAGGCUCAACCUCGAGACGUCGGUUGAAACCAUCUGGCUAGAGUCCGGAAGAGGAGUGUGGAAUUCCCGGUGUAGCGGUGAAAUGCGCAGAUAUCGGGAAGAACACCUGUGGCGAAAGCGGCUCACUGGACCACAACUGACGCUGAGGCGCGAAAGCUAGGGGAGCAAACAGG
rnacentral:rRNA from 1 species